UGCUAAUGGACUACUAUUGAUUGGCCAUUAAUUUGCCUGGGACUCACUGGCUGAAUAUUCUCAGGCGUGGCAACCCUGCCUACGCAUCCCGCAGUGAAUGAUGGGAUAUGUUCCUGUUUUGUCGUAAUGACCAAGCAACCGCACCACUACCACCAUAGCAACCACUCAUCAUAGUGACGCUGAUUUGUCAACCAAUCAGGUUGAAAGGGUCGUAUGACGUCAUUUGUAAGUCAUUGAUUAGCUCACUAGAUGUUCAACGAGCGUCACUGCAGCAGCGCGGUUUCUGCCUGGAAACACAGCGAGCGAACCGGAGAGGGUGAUCAAGACUCAUGGAUAAAAGUUCCAGUCCCUCAGAUAAGGAGAACAGUAAGGAGAAUCAGUGCUGUCCGUCAUCCCAAGGAAAUGAAGCAAAAGUCACGGAUCUGAAAAAAGAAGUCACGGAUCUAAAAAAAGAAGUCACAGAUCUGAAAAAAGAAACCAGCAGUAAUUCAGAGGGAGAAGCAACUGAACUUCCUCAGUGCAAAAUGGGUUGCAAGAAAGUAGAUGACAUGAGCUUCAUGAUAUCAUGUACAAACUGGUACUAAGGGCAUGUGAUAUAUGAUCACUACAGUGUGUGGUGCAGUGAUGUUCAUCAGUAAAGUAAAUGUAUUAUACUGUGUAAAUGUAAUGGGAAUAUUCUAACUUUGGCAUCCUGUAUCCUCCACAAUGCCAUCUGAAUAACUGCUGAUUGUGAAUAUAAUGCAAUCUAAUUAAGAGAAAUGUAGCAUAAUUUAGUUCUUCAGAUUUUCCAGCUCUGUCAUGUUCUAAUAUGUCUAUUCUGCUCAUUUAAAUAAAUCUCCAAUGCUUCGAAAUAAAUGAAAAAUGACAUCCUCA